rnacentral:rRNA from 1 species
UACAGGGGGUGCAACCGUUGCUCGGAAUCAUUGGGCGUAAAGCGCACGUAGGCGGUUUGUUAUGUCGGAUGUGAAAGCCCUUGGCUCAACUGAGGAAGUGCAUCCGAAACUGGCAAGCUAGAGUACUGAAGAGGGUCGCGGAAUUCCCGGUGUAGAGGUGAAAUUCGUAGAUAUCGGGAGGAACACCGGUGGCGAAGGCGGCGACCUGGGUAGAUACUGACGCUGAGGUGCGAAAGCGUGGGGAGCAAACAGG